rnacentral:lncRNA from 1 species
AUGAAUAAUCAUCACUUGAGAAGCUCUGAUUCUGAUCUUCACAUUGCUCCAGAUGUGCAGGAGAAAAACAUUUCUUCCUUCAACGGAUUCCCAAAUCAAGUGCCCCAAUUCUUCAUCUGCAAGAAAGGAGAACAAAGACUUACUCCACAAGGAACUACGAGACUUGAAAAAGGCAACCAGAUUACGCUGAAUGUGAAUCAGGACCUCCUGUGAACCUACAUGGAUUUUAUACCCUUGAAAGAUCUGCAUUUACCAUUCCAGAGAAAUUCUAGAGAAAUGAAGCCAGAUGACUGGAAAAGACUUGACAGCCGAUCCAGCAGAGUGGAUCGUGAGGGAUUGUGUCCUUUCCUACACCAAAGAGUCAGAGAAAUAUGACUUAUGAAAGGAAGAGCCAAGACUUUCUUUCCUGAAGCUUCUCUGGGGCUUAAAGGGGAUAUAGUCAACAAUUUUCAUCAAAGAAUGUUUCUGCUAUUCAGG